ensembl:misc_RNA Metazoa_SRP Metazoan signal recognition particle RNA
GCCGGGUGUGGUGGCGGGCACCUGUAGUCCCAGCUACUUAGGAGGCUGAGGCAGGAGAAUCGCUUGAACCCAGGAGGUUGAGGUUGUAGUGAGCCAAGAUGGCACCACUGCACUCCAGCCUGGGCAACAGAGUGAGACUCCACCUCAA